AUGACGCUGUACCUCCACGACAUCCUCUACAACGGCGUCAACAACACCGCCAACGCGACCGCCGCGCCGGUCACCAAGCCGACGGACCUGAGCACGUCGCACUGGAGCAACGGCACCUUCUUCGGCAUGCUGGUGGUGUUCGACGACCUGGUGACGGAGGGGACGGCGCUGCCGGUCGGGGACGAGGAGCCGGCGGCGCGCGCGCAGGGCUUCUACUUCUACGACAAGGAGUCGUACAGCGGGUGGUUCUCCUUCUCACUCGUGUUCAACUCAAAGGCAUACAGGGGCACGCUCAACCUCAUGGGCGCCGAUCCCAUGGACGAGGAGACUCGUGACUUCUCCAUCGUCGGCGGCACCGGCGACUUCUUCAUGGCGCGCGGCAUCGCGACUAUCCGCACCGACGCCACCUGGGCUACUUCUACUUCCGCCUCAAGAUGGACAUCAAGCUCUACGAGUGCUACGUCUGAUCUGAUAAGUUAUGAAGAUGCAUGGUUAUAA
rnacentral:rRNA from 1 species